GGAUGGCGUGGCUUGGGAGUAGAGGGAGGGGCGGCAGGGCAUGCCCCAAGGUUAGGGACCUUGCCUAUGGUGUCACUGAUGGGGAAAGGGCGGUGUACAGGAGGUUCUACGGGGUGGUGGCGAACGUCGACGACGUCACCGGGAACGUGCGUGGAAACUUAGUGAACGCUGAAGAUAAAUGAGAGCAUGAUGAUCAGUGGCUCACCUAAGAUCUGUUUGAGCCCUUGGUUGAAGACG
rnacentral:lncRNA from 1 species